rnacentral:rRNA from 1 species
UACGGGGGGGGCAAGCGUUGUUCGGAAUUACUGGGCGUAAAGGGCUCGUAGGCGGCCAACUAAGUCGGACGUGAAAUCCCUCGGCUUAACCGGGGAACUGCGUCCGAUACUGGAUGGCUUGAGUUCGGGAGAGGGAUGCGGAAUUCCAGGUGUAGCGGUGAAAUGCGUAGAUAUCUGGAGGAACACCGGUGGCGAAGGCGGCAUCCUGGACCGACACUGACGCUGAGGAGCGAAGCCAGGGAGCAAACGGG